rnacentral:rRNA from 1 species
UACGUAGGGGGCUAGCGUUGUCCGGAAUCAUUGGGCGUAAAGAGCUCGUAGGCGGUGUGUCGCGUCGGCCGUGAAAACCUGUGGCUUAACCAUGGGCUUGCGGUCGAUACGGGCAUCACUGGAGUUCGGCAGGGGAGACUGGAAUUCCUGGUGUAGCGGUGAAAUGCGCAGAUAUCAGGAGGAACACCGGUGGCGAAGGCGGGUCUCUGGGCCGAUACUGACGCUGAGGAGCGAAAGCGUGGGGAGCGAACAGG